rnacentral:rRNA from 1 species
UACGUAGGUGGCAAGCGUUGUCCGGAUUUAUUGGGUUUAAAGGGUUCGUAGGCGGGUCUUUAAGUCAGUUGUGAAAUACGGCAGCUUAACUGUCGAGGUGCAAUUGAUACUGGAGGACUUGAGUACAGGCGAGGUAGGCGGAAUUGACGGUGUAGAGGUGAAAUGCAUAGAUAUCGUCAAGAACACCGAUAGCGAAGGCAGCUUACUAGACUGUAACUGACGCUGAGGCACGAAAGUGUGGGGAUCAAACAGG